UAAAAUGAUUGAUUCUUACAGUAAAAACCAAGUACGAGCGUUGAUUCUCAUAGUACAAAAUCAAGUACCAGCGUGAUAGUGCGUGAGAGAUGAUUAAGGGUAAGGUUGUCAUAUUAUUUCUGCUAAUGAUAUUUAUUGUAUUGAUUGCAGUAAAUGGGCAAACUGCGAAAGAAUGCUGCGCUCGCGGCUGGAAAUGCUGCUACCCUCAGACAGCAUCUUUAGUUAAUAGUACUAUUUAAUUUUUUUAUUUACGUAUGUGGAUGUAUAAUUAAAUGUUCGAGUAUGUUUUAAUAUUGUAAUAUGUAGGAGUAUGUUUUUAUGUUGUAUGAACGAAUGAUGCUAUGAAUGGAACGAUAAGUUUAAAUCUGUGUUAUGAUAAAAUCUGUGUUAUGAUAAAUUUUUUAUUAUUUCAUUAUGCACAAUAUAUUUUUUUUUCUUUCGUUUUUUCUUUUUUUUCAGGUUUGAGAUGGUCCGGUAUUUGGCGCCGACAAAGCAAGAGUACUUGGACCCUCUGCGACUGAGGGUCUGAUACUCAUCGCCUGUUGGCCUCCGACAGAGCAUUGGGGUCUUACCAGGCUCUGGGCGGGCACAAGGCCAGCCACCGGAAGCCUAGCAACGGUGUCAAGGAAGCCUCGGCCUCGGGCUCUUCCACGACUAGCGCAAGCGCCUCCACGACGGCCUCCGGUGGCGGCAGGGUGCACCGGUGCUCGGUGUGCCUGAAGACGUUUCCGUUGGGGCAAGCGCUGGUGGCACAAGAGGUGCCACAACGAUGGGAGCGUCGGCAGCGGCACUGCCCCGGCGGCGAUGACGUCGUCGGAGGGGGCUAGCUCGAGGCACAUGCCGUUCUAUCUGAACGUGCCAGCGACGCCGGACUCGGAGUUCGACGACGUCAAGCGUUGGGUGGCGGCGGCGGUGAAGGAAGAGAAGGAGGUGCAGAGCCCGCUGGCUUUUAAGAAACAGAGACCUGUCGUCCCACAUGAGCGAGUCAACUCCCCUUUGGUUGAGCAAACAUCUGAAUCUAGCCAAUCUUCCUGUGGCUUGCCUUGGGUCCUUCGCUAGUUUGUCAAGAGGAGUCCACAACCUCUCUUUGGAAAAAACAAACCGAUUGCAGAAUUCGGUAGAUUCACGAAAGAUGAUCAGAAACACUUAAUUAACAAUGGCGUGAAUUUUGACAAACAGUUUAUACAAGUAUUGAUCUUUAUCUCUGCUUUUGAUACUACACAAUACAUUUUUCAGAUAUGAGUAGCAUGCAUGUUGAAGAAGACAACUUGAUAAUAUGAUUCUGUCGAAGUAAGGAGACAGCAGAGGUAGCACUCGGCUGGUUUGGUGCAGUUUUCGCCAGUAUUACCUGCAGCAGCUGCAGCACGAGGCCAGAUGGUUUGCUCGAUAUCAGAGGCAUCGAUACUUUCUCCACACAUGCACACCUCACCACCAAUGACCAAUUUUUGCUGCUCAGGCGUGGAGAUGCUUGUAAGGGGCUCAUUCAUGUAGAACUUCUGCCAUGGGACAUCCAAGUGAUCCAAGUACCACUUCUCCUGGUUGGCCGCCACCACCUUCUGUGCUACUCCACCACCAAGCCUGCAAGCACACAAGGAAAAUUGUCUUAUGACACCAACACAAUCGAUCCGGAUCGCUGUACACA